rnacentral:rRNA from 1 species
AUUGAACGCUGGCGGCAUGCCUUACACAUGCAAGUCGAACGGUAGCGGGCCUUCGGGUGCCGACGAGUGGCGAACGGGUGAGUAAUGUAUCGGAACGUACCUUUCAGUGGGGGAUAACGUAGCGAAAGUUACGCUAAUACCGCAUAUUCUGUGAGCAGGAAAGCGGGGGAUCGCAAGACCUUGCGCUGAUUGAGCGGCCGAUAUCAGAUUAGCUAGUUGGUGAGGUAAAGGCUCACCAAGGCGACGAUCUGUAGCGGGUCUGAGAGGAUGAUCCGCCACACUGGAACUGAGACACGGUCCAGACUCCUACGGGAGGCAGCAGUGGGGAAUUUUGGACAAUGGGGGCAACCCUGAUCCAGCCAUGCCGCGUGAGUGAAGAAGGCCUUCGGGUUGUAAAGCUCUUUCGGCCGGGAAGAAAUCGUAUCAGCUAAUACCUGGUGCGGAUGACGGUACCGGCAUAAGAAGCACCGGCUAACUACGUGCCAGCAGCCGCCGUAACAC